rnacentral:rRNA from 1 species
UUCCUACGGGAGGCAGCAGUGGGGAAUCUUGCGCAAUGGCCGAAAGGCUGACGCAGCGACGCCGCGUGGGUGAAGAAGGUCUUCGGAUCGUAAAGCCCUUUUCUCCCUGACGAGAGAGGACGGUAGGGGAGGAAGAAGUGUCGGCUAACUACGUGCCAGCAGCCGCGGUAAAACGUAGGACGCAAGCGUUAUCCGGAAUUACUGGGCGUAAAGCGCGUGUAGGCGGAUGUCUAAGUCACUGUUGAAAGCUCCAGGCUAAACCUGGAGAGGUGCGGUGAGACUGGGGAUCUGGAGAGUGUCAGAGGGAUGCAGAAUUCCGGGUGUAGUGGUGAAAUGCGUAGAGAUCCGGAGGAAUACCAGAGGCGAAGGCGGCAUCCUGGGACAUAUCUGACGCUGAGACGCGAAAGCAUGGGGAGCGAACGGGAUUAGAGACCCCGGUAGUCCAUGCCGUAAACGAUGCAAACUAGAUGUGGGCUUCUUACGGGAGGUCUGUGUCGGAGCUAACGCGAUAAGUUUGUCGCCUGGGGAGUACGCACGCAAGUGUGAAACUCAAAGGAAUUGACGGGGGCCCCACAAGCAGCGGAGCGUGUGGUUUAAUUCGAGGCACWUCRUACCUUACCUGGGUUUGACAUCCCACGAA